rnacentral:rRNA from 1 species
AGAGUUUGAUCAUGGCUCAGAUUGAACGCUGGCGGCAUGCCUUACACAUGCAAGUCGAACGGUACGGGCCUUCGGGUGCCGACGAGUGGCGAACGGGUGAGUAAUGCAUCGGAACGUACCUUCAGUGGGGGAUAACGUAGCGAAAGUUACGCUAAUACCGCAUAUUCUGUGAGCAGGAAAGCAGGGGAUCGCAAGACCUUGCGCUGAUUGAGCGGCCGAUGUCAGAUUAGCUAGUUGGUGAGGUAAAGGCUCACCAAGGCGACGAUCUGUAGCGGGGUCUGAGAGGAUGAUCCGCCACACUGGAACUGAGACACGGUCCAGACUCCUACGGGAGGCAGCAGUGGGGAAUUUUGGACAAUGGGGGCAACCCUGAUCCAGCCAUGCCGCGUGAGUGAAGAAGGCCUUCGGGUUGUAAAGCUCUUUCGGCCGGGAAGAAAUCGCAUGGGUUAAUACCCUGUGCGGAUGACGGUACCGGCAUAAGAAGCACCGGCUAACUACGUG